rnacentral:rRNA from 1 species
GAUGAACGCUGGCGGCGUGCCUAAUACAUGCAAGUCGAGCGAACGGACGAGAAGCUUGCUUUUCUGAUGUUAGCGGCGGACGGGUGAGUAACACGUGGAUAACCUACCUAUAAGACUUGGAUAACUUCGGGAAACCGGGGCUAAUACCGGAUAAUAUUUUGAACCGCAUGGUUCAAAAGUGAAAGACGGUCUUGCUGUCACUUAUAGAUGGAUCCGCGCUGCAUUAGCUAGUUGGUAAGGUAACGGCUUACCAAGGCAACGAUGCAUAGCCGACCUGAGAGGGUGAUCGGCCACACUGGAACUGAGACACGGUCCAGACUCCUACGGGAGGCAGCAGUAGGGAAUCUUCCGCAAUGGGCGAAAGCCUGACGGAGCAACGCCGCGUGAGUGAUGAAGGUCUUCGGAUCGUAAAACUCUGUUAUUAGGGAAGAACAUAUGUGUAAGUAACUGUGCACAUCUUGACGGUACCUAAUCAGAAAGCCACGGCUAACUACGUG